UAGUGGCCUAAUGGUCAAAGUGUAGGGCUGGUAAUCAUUUGAUCACCAGUUUGACCCCUAUCCCUUG
rnacentral:tRNA from 14 species